rnacentral:rRNA from 1 species
CAAUUUAAACAACGAAGAGUUUGAUCCUGGCUCAGGAUGAACGCUAGCGACAGGCUUAACACAUGCAAGUCGAGGGGCAGCACGAUGUAGCAAUACAUUGGUGGCGACCGGCGCACGGGUGAGUAACGCGUAUGCAACCUACCUAUCAGAGGGGAAUAACCCGGCGAAAGUCGGACUAAUACCGCAUAAAACAGGGGUUCCACAUGGAAAUAUUUGUUAAAGAAUUAUCGCUGAUAGAUGGGCAUGCGUUCCAUUAGAUAGUUGGUGAGGUAACGGCUCACCAAGUCCACGAUGGAUAGGGGUUCUGAGAGGAAGGUCCCCCACACUGGUACUGAGACACGGACCAGACUCCUACGGGAGGCAGCAGUGAGGAAUAUUGGUCAAUGGGCGAGAGCCUGAACCAGCCAAGUCGCGUGAAGGAUGAAGGAUCUAUGGUUUGUAAACUUCUUUUAUAUGGGAAUAAAGUGAGGAACGUGUUCCUUUUUGUAUGUACCAUAUGAAUAAGCAUCGGCUAACUCCGUGCCAGCAGCCGCGGUAAUACGGAGGAUGCGAGCGUUAUCCGGAUUUAUUGGGUUUAAAGGGUGCGUAGGUGGUUAAUUAAGUCAGCGGUGAAAGUUUGUGGCUCAACCAUAAAAUUGCCGUUGAAACUGGUUGACUUGAGUAUAUUUGAGGUAGGCGGAAUGCGUGGUGUAGCGGUGAAAUGCAUAGAUAUCACGCAGAACUCCGAUUGCGAAGGCAGCUUACUAAACUAUAACUGACACUGAAGCACGAAAGCGUGGGUAUCAAACAGGAUUAGAUACCCUGGUAGUCCACACAGUAAACGAUGAAUACUCGCUGUUUGCGAUACACAGUAAGCGGCACAGCGAAAGCGUUAAGUAAUCCACCUGGGGAGUACGCCGGCAACGGUGAAACUCAAAGGAAUUGACGGGGGCCCGCACAAGCGGAGGAACAUGUG